rnacentral:rRNA from 1 species
UGGGGAAUAUUGGGCAAUGGGCGAAAGCCUGACCCAGCAACGCCGCGUGAGGGAAGAAGGCCUUCGGGUUGUAAACCUCUGUCCUUAGUGACGAAGGAAGUGACGGUAGCUAAGGAGGAAGCCCCGGCUAACUACGUGCCAGCAGCCGCGGUAAUACGUAGGGGGCGAGCGUUGUCCGGAAUUACUGGGCGUAAAGGGUGCGUAGGCGGUACUUUAAGUUGGAUGUGAAAUCCCCGGGCUUAACCUGGGGCCUGCAUCCAAUACUGGAGAACUAGAGUGCAGGAGAGGGAAGCGGAAUUCCUAGUGUAGCGGUGAAAUGCGUAGAUAUUAGGAAGAACACCAGUGGCGAAGGCGGCUUUCUGGACUGUAACUGACGCUGAGGCACGAAAGCGUGGGGAGCAAACAGG